rnacentral:rRNA from 1 species
UACGUAGGGGGCGAGCGUUGUCCGGAAUUAUUGGGCGUAAAGCGCGCGUAGGCGGUUCAUUAAGUCCGAUGUGAAAACUCUCGGCUCAACUGGGAGACUGCAUUGGAAACUAAUGGGCUAGAGUCCAGCAGAGGGAAGUGGAAUUCCAAGUGUAGCGGUGAAAUGCGCAGAUAUUUGGAAGAACACCGGUGGCGAAGGCGGCUUCCUGGACUGCGACUGACGCUGAGGUGCGAAAGCUAGGGGAGCGAACAGG